CCUUGGUCUAUGUGCAUAUUAAACAAAGGACACAGAUGGAUUCAUGACAAAAUUGUGUUUUGGUCAUGGUGAUGUGUUUGUAGAUCUUACUUUACUGAACAUUCUUGCUACUUGUAAUUUUCUCUAUCUAUAAUAAACUUGGCCCUUUAGUUACAUAGGAAAAUAUUUUGUAAAAAUUUACAAAAAUUUACCAAAUUAAUGAAAAUUGUUAAAAAUUGACUAUAAAGGGCAAUAACUCCUUAAGGGAUCAACUGACCAUUUUGGUCAUGUUGAUUUAUUUCUAUAUCUU
rnacentral:lncRNA from 1 species